UACUCACACCAACCACCACGCCAGAGAGCCGAGAGACUGGCAGAUGUUUCACGAAGCCAUAGGGCAGGGUAUAAAUAGAGCUGCCUCGGCCGGAGAACGUCACUUUCAAAGGAAUAGUGUUCAAGUGCAGUCGCAGUGUAGCCAAAAAAAAAGUUUUAAUUAGUAUAAAGAAAAUUUCACUCUUGCAAGUUUGCAAGCAGUAAUUGUUCCCAAAAAUGGAAAAGUGUAAAAAUUGUGUCGCAGAAGGAGACGGACAGCUGUACGACUAUUGCAAAAUGACGCCAGGGCCCACGUAGUGUUUGUCGACGUUGGGCAUUAUUUUGCUCUCAAUUUGGAAACAAAGAAACCAGACUCACUGGAAUGAAGCGAAUUUAUCAUCGAUUUUGCUGAACAGCAACGGGGAUUUUCGCAAGGCAGCAGGCAGUUUUCUCGAUUUUGGCUAGAAAUUGAACAACUAGGCAGUCUGAGGCAGUUAUCCAGGAAUUCCGUGCGUGUGACUAAUCUCUGAGGCGAUGGCCCUGAUCUGCGGAGUUAAGAAAUUGGGAUAGGAAGCCAGUUGGGCGUUGAAAGUUGAUAUCGAUAUCGAACCGUGAAAAAGUCGAUACUCUGCGCGAGCAUGGGUCGGUAUAUGGGUGCUAAAAAUGCACUCGGCCCGAUUGCAGCGUUAUUCGCAAGCUGUGUCUGUGUGUGUGACCAUGACUGAGAUUAUAUGUAUAUAUCUAAUGUCUGGGUUUGCGGACCAGCCAGGGUGCUCGAUUCAGUCAGAGUGAUUGUGCGGAUUGUGUUAUAGGAACACACUGGUGUAUCGACUUCUCUGCUCCACUAAGGGUGAACGUGAGCCCUACCAAAAAGGCCUUCUAUUGCUAACUAUCAUCGAACAAAUUCCGUAGCGUGCAGACAAACGUGGCAGCAUAUUAAUACCGGAUUAGUUAAUGAACCAACGAGGUAGAAUAUCCCACCAGUUGGUUAUAAACAUUAGUUUUGUUCUUAUAUUCAGUUGUAAAGUCAAUACGGAAGUUAUUUCCACACCAAAAAUGUGUCACUUAUGUUCUUAAAUACCAGAAACUGUUUACAUUUUUUUGAUUUGUACACUUCGCCAAUUAAGAAUUAUCAAUACUGAUGUAAAUUAACUUGUCGUAACACAACACAAAUGGAAAAAAUUAAUAACAAAAGAGCUCCUUAAUGAAAAAGCCACAGAAAAAGUGAAUAAAAAAUUCAAAAAUUCCAACAAUAAAUCUCGAAACAUUUGCUCGCCAUAUUUUUUAUUUCAAGCUUAGAUCCGAUUUCAGUUAUAUCUCCAAACUUAAACGUAGCUUUACCAAAAUAAUCCCCACGGAGGAAGGGCCUUAAUGUCAACACGCCAAUAGUGUUCGUCUUAAACACAAAUUACUCUGAUGUUCUCUAUCCAAAUCGAGAAAUCGAACCAAAUGUCUGCCUAAAAAGGAAGGGCCUUGAUCUCUGUUGAUCACAAAAAGUUUGUAUUGGAAAGAAUGUUUAAAUGUUCAACUUAAAAGUACGUAUAUACGCAUUUUUAUUUUUCCCAUUUUUAGGACAGCAGAACUUCUUAUAAGCGAAUUAUAGAUAAGAAAAAUAUCAUUCUAAAACCAAAUAAAUAUUUUUAAAUAACAAAUUUUAUAUAAUUAAAAAAAGAUAUAAACAUUUUUAGCAAUACAUAUCGAAAGGACUCAGUCCCUAUGGUAAAACGAAUGUAAAAAGCAUAUGAACAAGGUGGGUGUGUUAAAAAGAUGAAUGCAAUUGAGAAAAUAUAAACAGGUAGAGUGUGUUAUUAAACAAUUCCCUGUCAAGAUGUCUUACUAAUUAUACAUGAAAAAAGGUGUGCUAGGUAGGACAAUUUAAAACAUGCGUGACUCCCUUAUGAAUUUUAUAUGGUAUUUUUAAAUAAAUAAUAAUUUAAAAACUAGGUAGGAUCUUUACAAAUUUCAUUUUAUAUUAAAAGGAAUCAGACGUAAUGUUGAUUGAUUGGAAUUGAACAAUUUAAAUAUAUAACUCUUUCGGGUGUGUAUAAACCAAUGAAUGCUAAUAUAACUGAACGAAGUUGAAAUAUAUAACUGAAAUGAACAUUUACUCCAAGUAUAACUUUAAAAGUCUGCGUCCCCAGUAUAAUUUGAAUGCAACUUAUAAAAAAAUACAAACCUUGGGUAGGUAAAAGAUGAUAAUUAAAUAAAUACCAAUAGGUAGGAAUUGCCAUUCAGGAUUGCGUAUUUGUGUGAAAUAAAACGAAACGUAUUACGUCUCAAAUAUACGGUAUCCCCUUAUCUAUAUAAAAUAGGUGGUCUUAUUCCAAACAUUAGAAACCAAACGACCCAUUCUCAAUAUUAAAAUGAAUAUUUAUGGUGUGCUAUAAAUAAUAUAUGUAAUAAUUAUAUUUUGGGUGUGUAAAAGUAGGUACGCAUGUUAUAAAACGACUCCGAAUAUGGUGUACAUAUGGUUUUAUUAGAAAAUGAAAUGAAAAAGUCUAGGGUUCUUCCAAUGUAAAUGUUGGACGUAAAAAUUCACAAAGAAACGUUUAUACUAGAAGAAUGCAAUGGAAAAUGUAUAAUUUUCUUGGAUGUGUAUAAAUCAAUAAGAGCAAUUGGAAAAAUUAUAAAUGAACGCAUGGGAAAAUAUAUAACUGAAAUAUCCGUUUACUUGAAAUUUUAUAAAUUGAAAAGAUUCCAUUCCCCUGAUCAACUGAAUGUAAAUAAUAACAUGUAUAAAUCUAGGAAGUAUAAAAGAAAAUGAAUUCAAAUGAACAAAUAAAAUUAUGUGAUGUCUUAGGUACGACCUUAACGGUUCACUUCAAAUAUUAUAAAUCAAAACGACUCAGUCGCAAUGUUUUAAUGAAUGCAAUUGAACGAAGAUGAAUACCUAUGGUGUGUUAUAAAUGAAUUACCUUUAAUGAUAGUGUACAUAAAAAUGGAUUGGGUUUGGUAAAAUGAAUUAUAAUAAUGAGUGUGUAAAAAAACAGGUAGGGACUCUAAUAAAAGAAUUGCAAUGGUGUGCUUAUAAAUAUCUAUUUCGAAAAAUAUUUGAUACAAAAAUUGAAAUUGAAUUGAAAAUGGUUGGAUGCUUAAUAUAAUAUCCCUGCAAUAUGGUACGCGCAUAAAUACAUAAAGAAACGUCUAAAAGUCGAUGACAAAAGAAUAUACUUGAGAACAUAUAACUCUGUUGGGUGUGUAUAAACCAAUGAAUGCAUUCAAAAAUAUAAAUGAAAGGUGAAAAUUUUUAACUGAAAUAACCUCUACUGGAAAUAUUAUUUACAAUAUUCCGUCCCCAUGAUAAAACGAAUUUAUAAAAUGUAUAAGGGUGUAAACAAAAUGAACUUAAUUGAGUGAAUGCAAAUAGGUAUGGUCUGUUAUAAAAGAAUUGUCUUUGCGUAAAAAAUUACGAAAUUUGAUAGGUAGGACUCAUUAGUAUACGGUAUCCCCUUGUGAAAUUUAUUUGGUAUUUAUAAAAAAUGUGUGUUAUAAAAAAAUGCCCUUUUCAUUGUGGUAUACAAAAAACAAAAAUCGAUUGAAAUGGUACAUGGUAAAACGAAAUAUGGCUAAAAUCAAAAUUUGAGUGUUUGGUAAAUUGGUAGGGUGUCUUAUAAAAGAACUUCCUUAGAAUAUGGCAUACUUGUGGAUAGAUCAGAAAAACUGUAUCAAAGAAUAAAAUUUGAAUGAAAAAUAUUGGGUGUUUUAUAUAAUAAAAUCCGGGCAAUAUGAAUAUAUAAAUCCUCUAAAUGCGUCAAAUAUAAGUCCAAUUAGAAA